GUGCUUGCUUGGACAGCGCAUACAUGAAAAUUGGAAGAAGACAGAUCAGCAUGGCUUCUGCACAGUGAUGACAUGUGAAUUAGUGAAGCAUUUCAUUCUUUA